rnacentral:rRNA from 1 species
CCUACGGGUGGCAGCAGUGAGGAAUAUUGGUCAAUGGACGAGAGUCUGAACCAGCCAAGUAGCGUGAAGGAUGACUGCCCUAUGGGUUGUAAACUUCUUUUAUAUGGGAAUAAAAUGUUCCACGUGUGGGAUUUUGUAUGUACCAUAUGAAUAAGGAUCGGCUAACUCCGUGCCAGCAGCCGCGGUAAUACGGAGGAUCCGAGCGUUAUCCGGAUUUAUUGGGUUUAAAGGGAGCGUAGGUGGAUUGUUAAGUCAGUUGUGAAAGUUUGCGGCUCAACCGUAAAAUUGCAGUUGAAACUGGCAGUCUUGAGUACAGUAGAGGUGUGCGGAAUGCGUGGUGUAGCGGUGAAAUGCUUAGAUAUCACGAAGAACUCCGAUUGCGAAGGCAGUUCACUGGACUGCAACUGACACUGAGGCUCGAAAGUGUGGGUAUCAAACAGGAUUAGAUACCCGUGUAGUC